rnacentral:rRNA from 1 species
AACGAACGCUGGCGGCAGGCCUAACACAUGCAAGUCGAACGCCGUAGCAAUACGGAGUGGCAGACGGGUGAGCAACGCGUGGGAACAUACCCCUCGGUUCGGAAUAACUCAGGGAAACUUGAGCUAAUACCGGAUACGUCCGAGGUUUUGAUCGACCUUGGAGAAAGAUUUAUCGCCGAAGGAUUGGCCCGCGUCUGAUUAGCUUGUUGGUGAGGUAAUGGCUCACCAAGGCGACGAUCAGUAGCUGGUCUGAGAGGAUGAUCAGCCACAUUGGGACUGAGACACGGCCCAAACUCCUACGGGAGGCAGCAGUGGGGAAUAUUGGACAAUGGGCGAAAGCCUGAUCCAGCCAUGCCGCGUGAGUGAUGAAGGCC